rnacentral:rRNA from 1 species
UGAUACGUAGGUGGCGAGCGUUAUCCGGAUUUACUGGGCGUAAAGAGGGCGCAGGCGGUUUUUCAAGUCGGAUGUAAAAUCUCCCAGCUUAACUGGGAGGGACCAUUCGAUACUGUUAAACUAGAGGACAACAGGGGGAGGUAGAGUUCCCGGUGUAGUGGUGAAAUGCGUAGAUAUCGGGAGGAAUACCAGUGGCGAAGGCGGCCUCCUGGGUUGUUGCUGACGCUUAAGCCCGAAGGCGUGGGGAGCAAACAGGAUUAGAUACCCUGGUAGUCCACGCUGUAAACUAUGGACACUGGGUAUAGGGAGUAUCGACCCUCUCUGUGCCGAAGCUAACGCGUUAAGUGUCCCGUCUGGGGACUACGGCCGCAAGGUUA